rnacentral:misc_RNA from 1 species
ACACAGAUUUGGUACACAGUAAGCAUAGAGAUUACUAACAACAAAUAAGACAUUCAACAUAAGAGUCAUAUUCCCAACACAUUGAUCAUGUAUCAAAUGUCAUCGACGAAACAAAGCAAAACAAAACUUGUAUUGCUGAUAAGUUCAACAAAUAAUUUUGAUCCAAAGCAAAAAUCUCAGCCAAAGUAGAUCCUAUCCCUACACUUUGAUAGCAUAUUUCCUAAUGGGGAAGUACAUUUCCUUCUUCUUCUCUCUCUCUGUCUUCAAGGAUGACUGGUGCUUAGUCAAACGUUUACGGAUUGCUCUGGUUUUCUUGGGGCGAAGAUCAAGAGGCAAGUACUUCUUGUUCUUGUAAACUUCCCUAAGAGCUGACUUUUGCUUCUGUGAGAUGACAGUCAAAACCUGUGCAAUUGACAACCUUACCACCUUGAUUUUGGAUAGCUUGUUAGGAGCACCACCGGUGACCUUUGCAACACGGAGAAGAGCAAGCUCCGCCUUCAGAUCCUUCAACUGAGCCAAAAGGUCUGUCUUCGACUUGUUCCUCAACUCAUGAACCUUUAUUCUCGCCAUGGCUGCUGCUCCUUUGAGGUUACUGCUCAGACGGCGAUGGAG